rnacentral:pre_miRNA from 1 species
CCACUUGGGGCCUGAGCCAAAGCCAUUAAAAUCAAUAGGAGUCUUCCCAUUAACUUUAGUGGGUUUUGGCUCAGGCCUGGGAGG